GGGGGGGCCAAGGGCGGUGGCUCACGGCUGUAAUUCCAGCACUCCGGGAGACAGAGGUGAGUGGAUCACUUGAGGUCACUAGUGUGAGACCAGCCUGGCCGACAUGGUGAAACCCCUUUCUGCCAACUACAUAAAAAAAAAUUAGCCAGGUGUGGUGGCACAUGCCUGCAAUCCCAGCUACUAGGGAGACUGAGGCAGGAGAAUUGUUUGAACCCUGAAGGCAGAGGUUGCAGUGAGCCGAGUUCAUACCACUACACUCCAGCCUGGGCAACACAGCAAGACUCCGCCUCAAAAAAAAAAAAAAAAAAAAAAAAGAUUCUGAAGGGGCCAGGCACAAUGGCUCAUGCCUGUAAUCCCACCACUUCGGGAAGCGGAGGCCAGAAGAUUGCUUGAGGCCAGUAGCUGCCUCCCAACAUGGUGAGACCCCCGCCUCUCAACAAAAAAAUUAAAAAAAAAAAAAUUAGCUGCUGUAGUGGUGCACAUCUGUAGUCCCAGCUACUCCGGAGGCUGAAGUGGGACGAUCGCUUGAGCCCAGGAGUUCAAGCUGCAGUGAGCUAUGACCACGUCACUGCACUUCAGCUUGAGCAACAGAGUGGGACCCUGUCUCAAAAAUUUAAAAAUAGCAUAAAUAUUCCAAACGCAAUUAUAUGGAAUAAGUUGGAAUGGAAGAUAAAAAGCAGAAGCCAGAGAAAAAAAGUAAAGUCGUCUCCCAUCGGAAAAAUUUUGGAAACAACUUCUUUAAAAGAUGAGAGAAAAUGUUCCCUUGCUUGCAAAAUUAAUGUCCCACUCAAGUCACCAGUAGGAAAUUCUGCUAUCUUCUGUGCAACGAUGAUAGCUUUCCCUACGCUUAUGAAAAUCAAUUCUGAUUGCUAGAAAAUAUGGUGGAAAAUAGAAUCCCUCUGUACUGUCAGCUCGCAGAAUUAUCUGAAAGUGUUAAGUCAAUUCCUGCUAGGGCACUCCGGAUGACAGUUCUCUGCACCCUUCUGGAUGACUCUUUAGAAACCAUAUUCCAUCCCUAAUUCUGGCUGUCUAGAAUAUAUGAAACAUUUAACUCAACAUAAAAUGAUAAUAGCCAACUUUCAAAGGUCAAAGGGGACCAGUUUAUAACCUUCCCUCAACACGUGUUCAGUACAAACUUCCGGGUGCACUUACAAUUGGCUGCGCAAUUCAAUGGAUAAAAACGUUGCUUUAUUUGUCUCUCAUUUUCUGGCCCGUUCUUUUCCCACGUUUCUCAACCAGCGACUCCCCAAAACAAAAGCCUCCCACAGUAAACCGAGCACGCACAUAAAAAGAGCUUCUCUGUGCGAGGAUCAAGUUAGUGGUCCGCAAACAUUAACCAAACAGAAGCACAAAGCAGGGGUGGGAAGGGGAGGAGCUGGAUGCCAGGGUCAGGAAAGAAACAAUCAGAAGGGUUUAGGAACAUCCAAAUCUCCUCAGCGGUUAAACCGACCCCAAACCACUUCUGGGAAACCACCGGUAUCCACUGCUUUGGGGAACUCUGGAUGCUCGUUAUGCCAAACGCUCUCAAAGUAAGCAAAUCCCCAACUGCCGUUCCCCUCCAUGGGUAAUUCUUAGGGUCUGGGAGGUGAGCUCGCCCGCCGAGGCAGAACUAAGCGAGUCGCCUGGAGAGGCGUGAAGGGAGCCUGCACGUGUCCCCCGCGGCUUCCCCACCGCCCCAAGAGCGGGGCAUGUACGAGACCGCGCUGUGGGGUUCAGAUUUAGGAAGGACGACCGCGUCGCCUGCCUCCCUCCCUCGCCCAGAGCCGGGAGCAAUGCUGGGGCACGAAAGAGGACUUGGGAAGGAUCCGGUCCUUACUUUCCCCGCGGGUCCCGGACCCGCAGCCCCCGGGUUGUGAGGCGGAAGCCAAAGGGGCGAACCCAGCGGAGCCGGCGUGCACAGACCCUGCCCCGCGGUCCAAGAGGGGUGCCUCCGGCCCGGGACAGCGGGGCUCCCGGAGCCCGAAAGCCCCACGAGCGGCGACAGCGGGGCCCGGCGCUGACGAACAGAGGAAGCGAGUACAACGGAGCCGCCGUCGGGAACAUGCCCCCGAGGGCCCCGGAGCGCGCGGCCGCGAGGAGCGGCAAGCGGCGAGGGAGGCCCCAAGCCGGGGCGAGGUGGCUGUCCCCCCAGCCUGGCCCCGCACGGCCCCCCGAGGGUGGGAGUGGGAGGCUGUCCGGGAGGGGGAGUGUGGAAGGAGAAAAGGGCCAAGGGAAGGACUUACUUUCCCCGCGGGACCCGGCGCCAGCACAGCUCCUCCCGGGAGGUGUGAGUUUGAAGGACCAGAGGCGACUGGAGCGGAGGCGGCGGUGGCGGCGGCAGCAGCGGCGUCCUGCUCUGCCUACCUCCCCGCCGCCAUCUUGACGCCCCUCCCCCAGCCCCCCCGCCCCGCCGGGAGGGGCGGGGGAGGGGCAACGGAUGAGGCGCCGCGCGCACGCAGCGCCCUCACGUGACUUCCUCCCUCCUCCCCCACCCGCCUCUCUGCGCCCCUCUCCGCCCCGCCUCCCUCCUAGGUGAAGGAAGAUGAUUUCCCCCCCAUCUUGACCACCCCCCAGUCUUCGCCGCCAAAAACGGACUCCGCCGGCUAUCCUCGGCCCGGUACCAGUUGUUGGAUCCAAGAGAAUUCCGGAACCCAAACGGCUCGCUCAAAGCACUUUAUUGGCAGUGAAACCGCAAGUAACCCGGAGCCCUCGGCGCGACCACGGCUAGAAUCAGAGCCUAAGGCGUGUGAGCUCAGCCAUCCCACGUCUGUCUUCACGCUCAUACGCAAGCCCGACACACCGGGGCUCCCACUUAAUGAAUACUGAAGAGUAGGGCUGUCCCUACCGCUUCUCACUUCCUUGUUUUCAUCUUUUCGUUAUUAUUAAGCGACCUAACACAAUAAACAUAUUACCUUGUUGGUAACCCUUUUGUAAAGUCAUUCUGAAAGUGCUGUUUGACUCCGUUGCUUGGGUAAUAAGCACGCCUGGGUGAUUCUUGCCCCCUACUGGCUGCGCAUCCUACAAGCCUAGUGCUGAAAGCAAACCAAGUAGCUGGAACAGUUGGAGGUUACAGUGUGAACUCUUCCAG
rnacentral:lncRNA from 1 species